rnacentral:rRNA from 1 species
AUUGAACGCUGGCGGCAUGCCUUACACAUGCAAGUCGAACGGUAACGGGCUUCGGGCGCCGACGAGUGGCGAACGGGUGAGUAAUGCAUCGGAACGUACCUUUCAGUGGGGGAUAACGUAGCGAAAGUUACGCUAAUACCGCAUAUUCUGUGAGCAGGAAAGCAGGGGAUCGCAAGACCUUGCGCUGAUUGAGCGGCCGAUGUCAGAUUAGCUAGUUGGUGAGGUAAAGGCUCACCAAGGCGACGAUCGGUAGCUGGUCUGAGAGGAUGAUCAGCCACACUGGGACUGAGACACGGCCCAGACUCCUACGGGAGGCAGCAGUGGGGAAUUUUGGACAAUGGGGGCAACCCUGAUCCAGCCAUGCCGCGUGCGGGAAGAAGGCCUUCGGGUUGUAAACCGCUUUUGUUCGGGAAGAAAAGGCACGUCCUAAUACGGCGUGUUCUUGACGGUACCGGAAGAAUAAGCACCGGCUAACUACGUG